rfam:Salmo salar isolate Sally breed double haploid chromosome ssa20, whole genome shotgun sequence.
GUCCCUGUGGCUCAGUUGGUAGAGCAUGGUGUUUGCAACGCCAGGGUUGUGGGUUUGAUUCUCACGGGGGGCC